GAUGAACGCUAGCGGCAGGCCUAAUACAUGCAAGUCGAACGGUAGAUUUGGUAGCAAUACUGAAUUGAGAGUGACGUAAGGGUGCGUAACACGUAUGCAAUCUGCCCUCAACAGGAGUAUAGCUCGGGGAAACUCGGAUUAACCCUCCAUAAGAUCUUAGGGUGGCAUCACCUAGAGAUUAAAACUUCGGUGGUUGAGGAUGAGCAUGCGCAUGAUUAGUUAGUUGGAGGUGUAACGGACCCCCAAGACGAUGAUCAUUAGGGGAACUGAGAGGUUGAUCCCCCACACUGGCACUGAGAUACGGGCCAGACUCCUACGGGAGGCAGCAGUAGGGAAUAUUGGUCAAUGGGUGAGAGCCUGAACCAGCCAUGCCGCGUGCAGGAAGACGGCCUUCUGGGUUGUAAACUGCUUUUAUCUGGGGAUAAAAAGACCGUGCGCGGUUAAUUGAAGGUACCAGAUGAAUAAGCACCGGCUAACUACGUGCCAGCACG
rnacentral:rRNA from 1 species